UAAAAUUAGAUAUGAAUACUUGGAGUCCAAAAAUAAGUAAAUAACUCCAUGAUAUACUAGUUCGGAACUCUAUUUCAAUGCAGAGUAUGUUAGCAAAUGUUUCCACACUUAAAAAAUCUAUUGUUUACUGCGUACCUUGUUUUUAAUCCAUUUAUGUAUAUGUAUAAGCAUAUAAAUAUAGAUGCUUUUAGGGCUAUAUAUUCCAGCAGAAUGUAAUGGUUCAAAAUCAUAAUCCAUGUAAUUUGAUCUUUAGUGUAGAGAUUACAAUAAGUAAUAAGCUUGUUGUUGGUCAUUGGUUCAAGUCAGCUUAGUUCACUUAACCGGUUUCUGUUAAGUUUAGUUUUUUUUUCAGUUAUGAUCUCUUUUUGUAUAUAUAAGUCUCUUGUUUAAGUUUUGAGACUUAAUAAAUUCAUUCUACUAUUUUGUACAGACUGAAACUUGUAAAGAGAGUUUGAAAGUUGUAAGAGAGAGAAAUUGAAGAAGUAAUAAGAUUGACUACCAGUGGAGUAGGCCAGAGAUACUUUGUCUCUGUGUUCGAACCACGUAUAUCUUGGUGUUCUGUUUUUGUUUUCGAUUCUGUGUUUAAUUCUUAUCUUGUGUUGGAUAAAGGCUUGUGUUGUUGACAGUAAGUUCUCUGCAUAACAAAGCUAAACAAUAUUGCUGCAGUCACUUGAAUAAAACAGAAAAGAGAGAAAAACUUAGGGAGAAGUAAAGCAAACAAACCAACCCUUUCUUUGUUAUAUUAGUAGUUAGUAUUUAGUAUUUUGUCCAAAUUAGUUUUGAAGUUUCUAAUACUUAUGGUCGUUCCACAGCCUGUAGGUUUAAUUCAUGAACAAAGUAAUGUCCUUGCUAGACAGUUACCUCAACAUAUUGAGAUACUUGUCUCGGCAGUCACUCAUAUCAAUGAACCUGACAGCUUAUAUGGGAUCAUUCUGUCCAACAAGGUAAGUAAUACAUGUAUAUUUAGCUUUGAAUUGUAGUUAAAGGUAAGUAAUACAACUGAACAAGCUUUGCUAUAAUAGUUUUGACCAUCUAGAUUGGUUUUUUUUUUCUUUUUUUCAGAGAUUGUUGUUUUGUGAUUUACUAAUUUGUUAGUGAUUUAUCACACUCUUCCCAAAAAAUUAACUUCUUUUACCUUAAUUGUCCUUGUAUGUUCCAUGUGCCAAGGUUAUGUGAAAAUUUAAAACCUUAUCACUUGUAUUUUGAUGGACAUCUAUGAAAGAGGAGUGAAAGUUUGUUGUGCUCAACUUUCUUGCAUCUGUCAUUAACCUGUUAUAAAUUCAUGAAAUAAGCAUGUACUCAUGGUUGUCCUUUUUUUUUUUCUUUUUCUUAGGGGUGAUAUCAUUAUAAGCUGACCUCUCUAGUUUAGUAUUUUCCAUCUGUCUUUUUGGUCAUCAAUUAUUUUGCAGUAUGAGGCCGCUUGGCAUGCUGGAAACUGGAUUUUUUCCUUGCUUUACAUGGGAGAUAAUUCAUAGAGUGAGCAAAACUAAAAGUGGCCAUUUCAAUGAAAAUCUGCAAUAAAGAUAAGUGCACAAGGAUGAUGAAUUGAAUGAUGGAGCAAGUUUCAUGCAUGAUUUACUUUUGUGUAUCUUGUGAUGUUUCUGUUUUUCAUUUUUGAAGUAAAAAAUGUUCUAAGAUUAUAAAACUUUAUUAUGUUAUGCUUUCAAACUUAAGUUAGAACUAAGAUCUCAUGAAGUAGACACAUUCAUGGUUUGAAUUAGUUAUUGUUUAAUGUAAUACUUAUGGUUUAUCAAUCUAUUGAGAAUUACAUUUUA